UGCUUAUCAUUGAUAAUAAUUUUAAUUAUAUCCAAAUUCAAUCUUAAAUAUUCUAAAAUCUAGUUUAGUUUAAAUUCUGAUAUCAAACGGGUUAUUCGUAGUAACGCUGUACAGUGUACAGUGUACACAGUAACAUAACGUACUCAUUGAGGACUGAGGUAAUAAUUGUGGGUGGACGACAAGUUCAGGACGACUGCAGCUGCAAUCAAGACAUCGACUUUUGUGAUCAUCGUAUACAAAUAUACAAUCAUCGCACCAUAUUAUAAAAACGACCCCGCACAACUUUUCUACUGUUACUAUAACCGUUGUCGGUAUACCACGUCUUAUGGUACCGCGGUAACUGCAAUAGUGUUUAAUAACAUCGCCAUCGUAUAAUAUUAUACACCGUUUAAUACCACGCGGUAAUCGCGAUGGCGGCAGAAACCCGUAGCGCAGGUGUAACGACUACGUCCGUACAGACGAUCGCGGCGUUGCUGUUGGUGCUCCUGGUCGGGGCUCCCGGCGCCCGGGCCGUCACCGACGAAAUGCUCAAGAUCGCGUGCUCGGACAUGACGCCCAGACACCCGGGUUACAAGCCGGAGAACACGAAGGGUUUGCCGUGCCCUUUCCAGUUGACGGUGGACCCUUCCACGCCCGUGGUGCCCGGCAACUUGGUGAACAUCACGCUCACGUCCAUCGGCACGAUCCUGCCGUUCAAAGGAUUCAUGGUGCAGGCCCGCGACCUCAACGGCGAAAUAAUCGGUACGUUUCUGCCGGCGUGCCGGAACGCGACUCAACAUCACAUGAUCAGCUGUUCCAACGGCCAAGAGCCAUACAACGCAGUGGUUCAGUCAAAUAACAAAUAUAAAAUAACAGAUACUUUUACGUGGAUAGCUCCAUUAUCACUUAAAGGAUCUAUUAAAUUUAAGUUUACAGUUGUGGUAAAUUUUGAACAUUUUUGGACAAAUGAAGAAACCCAAGAUAUUCCAGUAGUUCCACUUUCACAAGAAGAAUUUGACAUAAAAAACUCUAUUAAUCAUGAAUACUAUAUUUACAAAUUGUAUACUCAAAAUUGCUUUAGUUAAUCCAACAAUAAUAAUAAAUGACGUGUCAAAUAGUAAACAUUAAGAAUACUACGUAUAAUGCAUGAUAUAAAUGAGCUGAUGAAAGGAGUGGCAAAGAACUGCAGAUACCUUGGAAAAUGUUGGUCCAAUCUGCUCUACUCAUUUAAAUAAACAUUUGCAGAAAAUAUCAAAUACCUGUAUUUUUUUUUUUUUUUUUAAUUA